AUGUGCAUCACGAAGAAGAAUGGAGGAUUGGGGUUUAGAGACCUUCACAAUUUUAAUCUUGCUUUAUUAGCAAAACAGUGUUGGCGACUUCUCCAGAAUCCAGACUCUUUGUGUGCAAGAGUUCUUAGUGCAAAGUACUAUCCAAAUGGAAAAAUUCUUAAUGCGGGUCCAAAGAAAGGAUCAUCCUUCACGUGGCAAAGUAUUGUUUCGGGAAUUCGAACUUUUAAAAGGGGACAUAUCUGGAGAGUGGGAACUGGCUCGCAUAUUGACAUCUGGGAUGAUCCGUGGAUUCCAACAAGUGAAAACCGAAAGGUUAUUACACCACGAGGACAAGCUAUGGUAGAUAAAGUUGAGGACUUGAUUGAUCCGAUCUCUGGCCAGUGGGAUGAGGACAUAUUACGAUCUGUCCUAUCACCAGUAGAUGUCCACAGAAUCUUGCAAAUACCCCUUCGGAUUGAGGUGAUGGACGAUUUUGUUGCGUGGCAGCACACUCGGUCGGGCACGUUCUCUGUCAGGUCG
rnacentral:rRNA from 1 species